rnacentral:lncRNA from 1 species
AUUUUCUAGGGUUGUACCGUGGCACAUGGAGGUUCCCAGGCUAGGGGUCCAAUAGGAGCUGUAGCCACCAGUCUACACCAUAGCCACAGCAAUGCAGGAUCCAAGGUGUGUCUCUGAUCUACACCACAGCUCACAGCAAUGGCGGAUCAUUAACCCACAGAGUAAGGCCAGGGAUUGAAUCCACAACCUCGUGGUUCCUAGUUGGAUUUGUUAACCACCGAGCCGUGACGGGAACUCCUACUUUCUUUUACAAAGACAUCAAUAUUUAUGAUCUCACUGGUUUCACUAAUUCAACUAUCAUUUAGUGAACACCUACCUUGUGACAAGUUAUGCUAUAAGUACUGAAGAUAAAAAAUUAAAUAACACUCUGUCUUUUCCUCACACUAGAUGGUAGGUGCUCUCCUCAGAGCCUGCUGCAUCCCUCAGGGCCCCAGAGAUGCUGAUUUCUGAGUCCUCACUUCCUUAGGAGGGUAAUGUUCCCCUUGCCUUCCUUGCCUUUCAGGAUUAGAAGAUUGAGUUAUGGAGAUCUGAGUUCUGGUCUCUCUGGCAUCAGGCCAUUGUGAAAGGUCCUUUCCUUUCAGGCAGAAAACCGACAAAGUCAGGCACUUUGCUCUGAGGCUUUCAUUUGCGUUUCUAAGUUGAUUGCCUAAAACUGAGACCGCUUUCCCUGUGGGGAGAGGGAUGGACUGGGCUUCUUAAAGUGUGUGUGUGUGUGUGUGUGUGUGUGUGUGUGUGUGUGUGGUGUGUGUGUGUGUGUGUGUGUGUGUGUGUGAGAAGAGAGGGCAGAGUGUGGGUGGGGUAAUAGGACCCUGUGUCCUUCUUUGAUGUUGUCCCCUUAGGGAGCCCUUAUUAGAGCCUUCUCUAGCCUUCUUCUCUCUAGUCCCUUGUAACUAGCUUCACCUCUGUCACUUUCUCCUUUCACUCCACUGGCCUCCAAGGUGUUUAGCCAGCCAAGCUUGCUCCCUCCUUAUGGCCUUUAUGUUCUGUGUCCCUUCUGUGUGGGCCACUCUCCCCUGAGUCAUGAGGUUAACCUCUGACUUCCUUCAGGUCUUUACUCACCUUCUCUGUGAGGCCUUCCAUGGCCACUCUUUCAAAACUGUCAGCCUUUCAUCCCGAUGCUCUAUACAUUUCCCUGCUCUACUAUGUCUCCUGAGCACUCACUAUUGUUUACUUAAUUUCUGCUAGAAACAGAGCGGAAUGGACAAUAAAAGACAGAUAAUCUCCAGGGGAACAUGGAUUUUUGUCUGUUUGUUUCUUUCUUUUUUUUCUUUUUACAGCUGCACCUGUGGCACAUGGAAGAUCCAGGGCUAGGGCCUGAAUCAAAGCUGCAGCUGAGCCCUAUGCCACAGCCAUGGCAACAUCUAAAACCUGUGCUGCAGCUUAUGGCAGUGCUGGAUCUUUAACACAGUGAGUGAGGCUAGGGUUCAAACCUGCAUCCUUACAGAGACUGUGCUGGGUCCUUAACUCCCUGAGCCACAAUAGGAACUCCUGUCUGUUUUUUUCAUACUCUGUCUUAUAGAAUAGUUCUUUGUACAUGGUACAUUCUUUAGUAAGUAUUUGUUAAGUGAAUGAAUAAUGACAAAAUUCCCUAAGUCUCAGCUAGACAAAUAGGAAGUAUAAUCUCCUUCAUUUAAAUUGAUCAUAUGAUUUGGACAAUUGGAAUUUCAGUAGAAAUUCUUGACUUUAGAAUUGAAGACUCCCCUAAGCUUGUUGGCUAGUAUAGGGAAUCUUAGUAACAAAGGGCAUAAAGUCACAUAGUUUAUGAUAGUUUUAAUCAUAGUUUAUGAUUUUUUGAAGAUGAAGGAGAUGUGGCAUUUCUUGCAUCACAAUGUUUUGAGCAAAGUGUAGCCAGUUCACCUUGAGUGUGCACAAAAGCCAGCCUUGCCGCCUCCUGCUAGCUUUUGUUGGUGCAAGUAUGCCUGGCAGUUUGACUUGAGAAUGGCAUUAAGGACUUGCCAUGGUGCUGACAUGAGAAGUGAGAAAUGGCAAGUGCAUGGAACUAGCACAGGGAGCAAAGGGUCAGUGUUUCAAUACCAGCCAUGGCUUAGUUGAUAAGAUACUGCAAAUGAGUACUUCAUGUGUGUGUGUGAGUCUCUGUGUGUCACAUAAGAAGCAUAUAUUGUGUUAUGUGCACAAUGGCCAGUGAAUUUGAUGCCUCUUUUAUGGAUGCUAUUGGAUGUGUCAGCACUUCUUCCAUUCCCUUCUGUCUUGAGGUGUGUGGAAAUUUCUCCUGUGCCAUCCUUUACUUUGAUAAAGGAAUUGAAAAUAAGGUCUCCUCUCUUUGCUUUUGACUUCUCCAUUCAUAUAAUUGGUUUUCCUCCUUUGCUCAGUGCUCCCUAUGGUCACAUCAUAUUACAAAUUAUUAUAUAAUAAAAGUUGUUGCCUUGUAUUUUCUUUCCUACCUGUUUCCUACAGAACUUGGGAGAAAUAAAAGGAAUUGACCCAGGUUAAGAUGACAAAAAUAAUUAUCCCUCGUUUAAAAGAAGAAAAGUUUACAUUAAUAGACUAAUUCAAAUUUAUUUAAUUUUGCACAGAAUUAAAAAAAGCAUCUCACUGAAAAGUAACAUGAAAAAGAAUAUUAAAAUUCUUGAUAAGUUAAGGGGUUAGAAACUACCAUUUAUUGACUAUGUAUAGGGUACCAUCUAGAAAUUCAGUAACUGAGCUGAGAAAUUGAUGUUAUCCCAUUUUACAGGGAAAGAAACCAAGCUUCAGGGAUGUUAAUAAAUGCUAAGGACAUAUUAGUAGGAAGUGGGAGAGGCUGGAUUUGUAUUUAGAUGUGUCUGAUUCCAACUAAACUUUACUAUGCUGGUUUCCAACUGUCUUUAAAUUCAGAGUGUUCUUAAAAUUUCAGUACUGUACAUUCUAAAUUGAAAGCACUGUAUUUCAUUUCUAAGUAAGAUCAUCUUUUCCCUUUGCCAGAAAUAAUAUCUUUGAUUGCUCUAGCGCUUGGUUUGUAUGAAUUGCUUUCCUUGUUUUCUCAAUGCCAUGCAGGGAUUUAAAGUUCCUUGCUGUUAAAAACAGAGAUGAGUUACCUCAUUUUUGAAAUUCCUACACUGAGUUUCAAAAGCAAAAACAUGUCAUUAGGAGCUUAGGCUCAGAAUCUGAAUUUCAUCUUCUCUGCUUACUUACUGCAUAAUAGUGGCCACAUUCCUUAAUUAGGCUGUACCUCAAUAUCUCUAUCUGUAAAACAGAGGUAAUAUCAUCAAUAUAAAGAUUAAAAUAGUUAAUGUGUUAAUACAAUUAAAGUGCUUUUAAACAGAGCCUGACACACAAACAUCACCAAUAAAAUUUUUAUUUCUACCCAGGCAUGGCAAUCAUAAAGAGACAAUCAUUUUCAUUUUCUGGAACAUAGGAUAUUAGUUUCCUAAGGAUCCUUUCCUUCCAUGUCUUCCUGUUAACUAUCUGCUAGGGUUAUACCAGCUGCGCAUGGUGCUUUUUCACUCAAGAGGAAGACAUCUGAAAAUAGGCCUGUCUGUCUCUUUUAUUUUUAAAUUCAUACAUUUGUAAUGAAAAAAGCAAACUGAUCAUCAUUGGAGGAUCUUAGUGGACCAACUCAGUAUUUUGAAAAUUGGUCAGUACAGCAACAUACUAAAGGCCUAUCCUUCAUUUCCUGUGUGGACUGUCCUACUAGAUAAUCAAUAGUAGAAAAGGAAUUAUUUCUUUUCACAGAAGAGUGCAUGGAUCUAGGCAUUGGACAUCAAUACCCCUAAGAUCAAAGAGAGACAUAGAUAGAUAGACAGAUAGAUAGAUAUAUAGAUAGAUAGAUUAUGUGAUUCCAUUUAAUUGAACAUACCAUCAAUAAAGUAGUCUUAUUAAACACUAUAAUUUAUGGAGUUCCCAUUGUGGCUCAGCAAUAACGAACCUGAUUAGUAUCCGUGAGGACAUGGGUUCAGUCCCUAGCCUUGCUCAGUGGGUUAAGGAUCUGAUGCUGCUGUGAGCUGUGGUGUAGGUUGCAGACAUGGUUUAGUGUUGCUUAGGCUGUGGUGUAGGCAGGCAGCUUCAGCUCUGAAUUGACCACUAACGUGGGAACUUCCAU